rnacentral:rRNA from 1 species
UACGUAGGGGGCAAGCGUUGUCCGGAGUUACUGGGCGUAAAGCGAACGUAGGCGGUGUUCCAUGUCAGAGGUGAAAGCCUGGGGCUCAACUCCAGAAUUGCCUUUGAAACGGGAACGCUUGAGUCCGAGAGAGGAUGGCGGAAUUCCUAGUGUAGAGGUGAAAUUCGUAGAUAUUAGGAAGAACACCAGUGGCGAAGGCGGCCAUCUGGCUCGGUACUGACGCUCAGGUUCGAAAGCGUGGGGAGCAAACAGG